GACGAACGCUGGCGGCGUGCUUAACACAUGCAAGUCGAACGGAAAGGCCCUGCUUUUGUGGGGUGCUCGAUUGGCGAACGGGUGAGUAACACGUGAGUAACCUGCCCUUGACAUUGGGAUAACUUCAGGAAGCUGGGGCUAAUACCGGAUAGGAGCUCCUGCUGCACGGUGGGGGUUGGAAAGUUUCGGCGGUUGGGGAUGGACUCGCGGCUUAUCAGCUUGUUGGUGGGGUAGUGGCUUACCAAGGCUUUGACGGGUAGCCGGCCUGAGAGGGUGACCGGCCACAGUGGGACUGGGAUACGGCCCAGACUGCUACGGGCGGCAGCAGUGGGGAAUAGUGCACAAUGCGCGGAAGCAUGAUGCAGCAACGCCGCGUGCGAGAUGACGGCCUUCGGGUUGUAAACCGCUUUCGCCUGUGACGAAGCGUGAGUGACGGUAAUGGGUAAAGAAGCACCGGCUAACUACGU
rnacentral:rRNA from 1 species